CAUCCCUACCACCUGUAUCUAGUCACGGACAAGUUCACUGAGAGCGUCUACGUCCUGGCCAACGAGCCAUCUGUGGCCCUGUACCGGCUGCAGGAGCAUGUGCGUCGCUCCCUCCCCGAGCUGGCCCAGCACAAGGCAGACAUGCAGCGUUGGGAGGAGCAGAGCCAGGGAGCCAUCUACACUGUGGAGUACGCCUGCAGCGCCGUGAAGAACCUGGUGGACAGCAGCGUCUACUUCCGCAGCGUGGAGGGUCUGCUCAAACAGGCCAUCAGCAUCCGGGACCAUAUGAAUGCCAGUGCCCAGGGCCACAGGUAGCUCCUGGGACCGCCCGCCCCCACUGCCACUCUCAGCUGCAAGGACCGUCUCUCAGCUGCGCUGGGAACCGCUGCUUCUCGCUUAUUAGAAAACUGUCUCUUUCCUUUUG
rnacentral:sRNA from 1 species